UCCUACGGGAGGCAGCAGUGGGGAAUAUUGCACAAUGGGCGCAAGCCUGAUGCAGCAACGCCGCGUGAGGGACGAAGGCCUUCGGGUUGUAAACCUCUUUUAGUAGGGAAGAAGCGACUGGGUUUUCCUGGGAGUGACGGUACCUGCAGAAAAAGCACCGGCUAACUACGUGCCAGCAGCCGCGGUAAUACGUAGGGUGCAAGCGUUGUCCGGAAUUAUUGGGCGUAAAGAGCUCGUAGGCGGUUUGUCGCGUCUGCUGUGAAAACCCGAGGCUCAACCUCGGGCCUGCAGUGGGUACGGGCAGACUAGAGUGCGGUAGGGGAGAUUGGAAUUCCUGGUGUAGCGGUGGAAUGCGCAGAUAUCAGGAGGAACACCAAUGGCGAAGGCAGAUCUCUGGGCCGUAACUGACGCUGAGGAGCGAAAGCAUGGGGAGCGAACAGGAUUAGAUACCCUGGUAGUCCAUGCCGUAAACGUUGGGAACUAGAUGUGGGGACCAUUCCACGGUCUCCGUGUCGCAGCUAACGCAUUAAGUUCCCCGCCUGGGGAGUACGGCCGCAAGGCUAAAACUCAAAGGAAUUGACGGGGGCCCGCACAAGCGGCGGAGCAUGCGGAUUAAUUCGAUGCAACGCGAAGAACCUUACCAAGGCUUGACAUAUACCGGAAACGGCUGGAAACAGUCGCCCCGCAAGGUCGGUAUACAGGUGGUGCAUGGUUGUCGUCAGCUCGUGUCGUGAGAUGUUGGGUUAAGUCCCGCAACGAGCGCAACCCUCGUCCUAUGUUGCCAGCACGUAAUGGUGGGAACUCAUGGGAUACUGCCGGGGUCAACUCGGAGGAAGGUGGGGAUGACGUCAAAUCAUCAUGCCCCUUAUGUCUUGGGCUUCACGCAUGCUACAAUGGCCGGUACAAAGGGCUGCGAUACCGCAAGGUGGAGCGAAUCCCAAAAAGCCGGUCUCAGUUCGGAUUGAGGUCUGCAACUCGACCUCAUGAAGUCGGAGUCGCUAGUAAUCGCAGAUCAGCAACGCUGCGGUGAAUACGUUCCCGGGCCUUGUACACACCGCC
rnacentral:rRNA from 1 species